UACGUAGGGGGCUAGCGUUGUCCGGAUUUAUUGGGCGUAAAGAGCGUGUAGGCGGCCAUGUAGGUCCGGUGUGAAAACUCGAGGCUUAACCUCGAGAUGUCAUCGGAAACCAUUUGGCUAGAGUCCGGGAGAGGUGAGUGGAACUGCGAGUGUAGAGGUGAAAUUCGUAGAUAUUCGCAAGAACACCAGUGGCGAAGGCGGCUCACUGGCCCGGUACUGACGCUGAGGUGCGAAAGCGUGGGGAGCAAACAGG
rnacentral:rRNA from 1 species